rnacentral:rRNA from 1 species
GACGAACGCUGGCGGCGUGCUUAACACAUGCAAGUCGAACGGGCCUGUCUUCUUUUUUGGGGGUGGGUUGAGUGGCGAACGGGUGAGUAUCACGUGAGUAACCUGCCCUUCGGUCCUGGAUAACCGCUUGAAAGGGCGGCUAAUACGGGGUGGUCCGGUUGGUCCGCAUGGGCUGGUCGGGAUAGAUUCACUGUUUUUGGUGUUUCGGCGGGGGAUGGGCUCGCGGCCUAUCAGCUUGUUGGUGGGGUGAUGGCCUACCGAGGCGGUGACGGGUAGCCGGCCUGAGAGGGUGGGCGGCCACACUGGGACUGAGAUACGGCCCAGACUCCUGCGGGAGGCAGCAGUGGGGGGUAUUGCACAAUGGGCGGAAGCCUGAUGCAGCGACGUCGCGUGAGGGAGGGAGGCCUUCGGGUUGUGAACCUCUGUUUCCGGUGGUGAAGGCCCUGUCCGUGUGGUGGGGUUGACGGUAGCCGGGGAUGAAGCGCCGGCUAACUACGUG